CUGACGUCACCGCGGCCUGCUAGCCCCGCCGGGCCGCGAGCCAAGCAGACGGUGCAUGCGCAGCCGGCCGCGCCACGUCGGAUGCUGUGGCCGAGGGCGCAGGCGGGGGAGGAGGAGAAGGAGAAACCAACUCCAAGUUCUUACUGGAAUAUUUACAGGGUACUGGAGGGGCUCACGGCAUUAAGGAGAAGGCUCCGGCAGCCUCAGAAAGAAAGAAAACUAGGGAAGCUCUGGAAACACCAAUAAACGACCUCUGUCUAGGACGCUGCUGGUGGAUGACUCAGUGUGACGGUUCAUUUCAUGUGUCAGCUUGGAUGGGCUAUAGGGCGCAGGUGUCUGGAGAGCUGAGUGUUCCUUGAGGGUCCAAACAGCAAAGUGCAGGAGCUGAGAGACUGAAAGGAAGUCUGUCCUUAUCAUCAGCCCGAGUGUGGUGGUCAUGGUAGGCAUCUGCUGACCCUGAGCCUCCCUCCUGGAGUCUCUUUUCUGUUCCUAC